AUACUUACCUGACAGGGGCAAUACCAUGAUUCAGAAGGUGGUUUAUCUAAAGUGAGGCCUAGCCAUUGCACUCAGGCUGUACUGAGCUUUGUAAAUUCCUCAAAUGCAGGAAUCUUGACUGUAUAAUUUCUGCUAGUUGGGGACUGUGUUUGCACAACCCUUU